GACGAACGCUGGCGGCGUGCUUAACACAUGCAAGUCGAACGGAAAGGCCCUGCUUUUGUGGAGUGCUCGAGUGGCGAACGGGGGAGUAACACGUGAGUAACCUGCCCUUGACUUUGGGAUAACUUCAGGAAACUGGGGCUAAUACCGGAUAGGAGCUCCUGCUGCAUGGUGGGGGUUGGAAAGUUUCGGCGGUUGGGGAUGGACUCGCGGCUUAUCAGCUUGUUGGUGGGGUAGUGGCUUACCAAGGCUUUGACGGGUAGCCGGCCUGAGGGGGUGACCGGCCACAUUGGGACUGAGAUACGGCCCAGACUCCUACGGGAGGCAGAGGUGGGGAAUAUUGCACAAUGGGCGGAAGCCUGAUGCAGCCACGCCGCGUGCGGGAUGACGGCCUUCGGGUUGUAAACCGCUUUCGCCUGUGACGAAGCGUGAGUGACGGUAAUGGGUAAAGAAGCACCGGCUAACUACGUG
rnacentral:rRNA from 1 species